CCUACGGGAGGCAGCAGUCGGGAAUUUUGGGCAAUGGGCGAAAGCCUGACCCAGCAACGUCGCGUGAAGGAUGAAGCUUCUCGGAGUGUAAACUUCAUAAGAAUGGGACGAAUAAGUGGGGGAUAACACCCCCCAUGAUGACGGUACCAUUUGUAAGCUCCGGCUAACUCCGUGCCAGCAGCCGCGGUAAUACGGGGGGAGCAAGCGUUGUUCGGAUUUACUGGGCGUAAAGGGCGCGUAGGCGGCGCAACAAGUCAGCUGUGAAAUCUCCGGGCUUAACCCGGAGCGGCCAGCUGAUACUGUCGUGCUAGAGUGCGGAAGGGGCUACUGGAAUUCUCGGUGUAGCGGUGAAAUGCGUAGAUAUCGAGAGGAACACCUGUGGCGAAGGCGGGUAGCUGGGCCGACACUGACGCUGAGGCGCGAAAGCUAGGGGAGCGAACGGGAUUAGAUACCCCGGUAGUCCUAGCCUUAAACGAUGGAUGCUUGGUGUCCGGGGUUACAUAGUCCCCGGGUGCCGUCGCUAACGCCUUAAGCAUCCCGCCUGGGGAGUACGGUCGCAAGACUGAAACUCAAAGGAAUUGACGGGGACCCGCACAAGCGGUGGAGCAUGUGGUUUAAUUCGACGCAACGCGAAGAACCUUACCUGGGCUAGAAUGCCCCUGACAACCCCCGGAGACGGGGCCUUUCCGGGUAAAACCGGACAGGGUGCAAGGUGUUGCAGGCUGUCCUCAGCUCGUGUCGUGAGAUGUUGGGUUAAG
rnacentral:rRNA from 1 species